rnacentral:rRNA from 1 species
CACGUAGGUGGCAAGCGUUGUCCGGAAUUAUUGGGCGUAAAGAGCGUGUAGGCGGUCCGGUAAGUCAGCUGUGAAAGUCAAGGGCUCAACCCUUGAAUGCCGGUUGAUACUGUCGGGCUAGAGUCCGGAAGAGGCGAGUGGAAUUCCCGGUGUAGCGGUGAAAUGCGCAGAUAUCGGGAGGAACACCAAUGGCGAAGGCAGCUCGCUGGGACGGUACUGACGCUGAGACGCGAAAGCGUGGGGAGCAAACAGG